AAUGCGUACGGAGCUCAGAUGGCGAACUUCGGCGUGUAUUUUUUAUUAUUAUUAUAAAGUUGAUUUUUUUUUCGUCCUCUCCGCGGUCGUGAGUAGUGACGACGAGCGGUAAGUGUUCGUGCGAGCGGCGUGAAGAUGGUGGAUCGUACUGGGUGAGUUUUUUUUUUUUUUACCCCCCUCUUCACUACGCGCAUGUUAUUGACAAGGGAGGACCUGUUGUGAGCUUCGCUGUGGGAUGGGGCGGUAGAAAGGUUCAAGCACAUCACUAUACUACAACUUGUAUUAGAUGGAGCUUGCUGUUGGUAAGGCUGUUCUCUUUUUAAUCACUUUUAACAGUAUUGUGUAACUUCCGUGUACAAAUUGUAGGGGUCCUUUUCUGAAAACAUGCGGGGGGAAUGCACAAAGCAGAACAUCCAUCCUCUGCAUCUUGCUUUCUGUCAUUAGAAAUGAAGCAUACCCUUCCCUGAACAUGUGCAUGUGCCUGCAAAUGCUUGUGUGGAUAAAAAUCCCCCUGCUCUUAGGUCACUUGUCACUGUAGUGUCAAAGUGCUUACAGUGCAGGUAGUACUACAUCAUCUACUGCAAUGGAGGCACUUCUAGCACUGUGCUGACACCCCCCUUCUGGUAAGUGAUGCUUCUGCUGGCUUGAACUACUUGCUUGUGCUAAGGUGCAUCUAGUGCAGAUAGUGAAGUAGACUAGCACCUACUGCUCUAAGUGCUCCUUCUUGCAUAAGGGUCUGUCUUGCAUCUAGCGCAGGAUAUUUUUCCUUCGCGUUUUUUUUCUUUUGCAGUUCUCUGCUAGUUUUGCAUAGUUGCACUACAGGAAAAACAGAGUUGUGCAAAUCUAUGCAAAACUGAUGGUGGCCUGCUUUGUCUCCUGUUUAAAUGCUGCAUAAGACACAGCUAAAUUUGUUUUAAAUUGCUGCUUAUCCCCCCCCCCUUCCACCCCAUACAGAAGGUGUUGAGUGAAGUUUUAGCAGUAUUAAAGUGCUCAUAGUGCAUGUAGUUUUUUGUCAUCUACUGCAGUGUGAGCACUUCAAGUACUUCUGGAUCAGUGCAUUUGGAAGGAGUGACACUUGAAUGGGGCAUCUUUGCCACUGGUCCCCAUUCAGUUUUGCUGGUUUGCAUGCAGCUGUUGCUCCCGCUGUGCAAAUCCAUGCAAAACUGAUUGUGGCAGUGAAGGACUCCUGACUUGGGCCAGUGUGGGACCUCCCUUUCUGUGCAGGUUGGGAUAGGUGGCAAUGCUGUCUGCUAAUCAGGUAUUGCACUUGUCCCGGCCUGUUAAGAGCCAGGGGAACUGACCAGCGGUGGAGUUGUCUCACUGUUUGAUCUCCAUCAGGCAGCCUGUACAAUGGUGAUAUGACAGACUUGUGAAGUGUGCUUGGGGCUUUAGCUUUGGUUUGGGGAAAAAGUAUUAAGCCAAUUAUGAUGGAAGAUUUUGGGUAUGUCUCAACGGGACCUGCUAGUUUGUGUGGACUUUUGUAUGUAAUCUUUAAUAAAGAUGUUCUUUGAAAUGAA